rnacentral:rRNA from 1 species
CAAGAGCGUAUAUUAAAGUUGUUGCAGUUAAAAAGCUCGUAGUUGGAUUUCUGGUACAAUGCGCCUGGCCCGCGACCGUUAGGUCUGUGAGUGCCGGUGCGCGUUUGCCAUCCUUCUAGAAAACGUUUCUACCCUUCACUGGGCCGGACUCGCGAUCUAGAUCUCUUACUUUGAAAAAAUUAGAGUGUUUAAAGCAGGCUUUUGCUGUGAAUACAUUAGCAUGGAAUAAUAAUCUAGGACUUCGGUUCUAUUUUGUUGGUUUCUAGUACUGAAGUAAUGAUUGAUAGGGAUAGUUGGGGGUGCUAGUAUUGGCCGGCCAGAGGUGAAAUUCUUGGAUUCGGUCAAGACUAACUUAUGCGAAAGCAUUCACCAAGGAUGUCUUCUUUAA